GACGAACGCUGGCGGCGUGCUUAACACAUGCAAGUCGAACGGUAAGGCCCUUCGGGGUACACGAGUGGCGAACGGGUGAGUAACACGUGGGUGAUCUGCCCUGCACUUCGGGAUAAGCCUGGGAAACUGGGUCUAAUACCGGAUAGGACUCCUGGCUUCAUGGGUGGGGGUGGAAAGCUUUUGCGGUGUGGGAUGGGCCCGCGGCCUAUCAGCUUGUUGGUGGGGUAAUGGCCUACCAAGGAGACGACGGGUAGCCGGCCUGAGAGGGUGACCGGUCACACUGGGACUGAGAUACGGCCCAGAGUCUUACGGGAGGCAGCGGUGGGGAAUAUUGCACAAGGGGCGCAAGCCUGAUGCAGCGACGCCGCGUGAGGGAUGACGGCCUUCGGGUUGUAAACCUCUUUCAGCUAUGACGAAGCGCAAGUGACGGUAGUAGCAGAAGAAGGACCGGCCAACUACGUGCCAGCCGCCGCCGUAA
rnacentral:rRNA from 1 species